CAAAAAGUGUUCAUCGCCUAAAUUGAGGGAGAGACCCAAACUUGUUUUCUAGGUUGUACUCCGCCCUCCUCGCGAUGGCCAGCGACGGAUCCUCUUGGAGUGAAACUGGGACUCGGAAGCAUAAACUUGGAAGAUUGUAUCCACUCGAUUUUCAAGGUAGUAUAGAAUUUGCAAGAAAACAAGAUCAAGAACGAGCUCAACUAUUCCAAGCAUGAGGAUAUUGGCCACUUGACUAUCAAGCUAAUACACGAUAUGCAGAUAAACAAGCUGAAAAACAAACACAAACAGUUGAAGCGCGAGGGCAACAUACUUAUGCUUCUAAAAAGGAAGAAGCUGCUGCAAAUGCGAAACGAUGGCUGAGCGAGGAGGCGAUGGUGGCUUUCAGAAGAUACAUUGAGAGCAAAGGGACUUGAUUAUGAAUUUGACGAGCUUGUCCAUCAAUGUUUCCAUGUGGAGCAUUAUUUGAAGACGUUUUAUCACUUCAACUUUACUGUCAAGACAAAGAAGCCUGGCUCAGCUGAUUGGACAUCGGCUAUGUACUUCGCUCAGGUCAAAUCGAUAUGCAUGAUAAAACGCUAUGUCUGUUAUCCUUUGGAGCAAGAUCAAUAUGGUGAAUGUUAUGCAUGUGAGAACCAAGGAAUGGGUGAAUUGAGGCACCCAUUAGAAGGGAUAUACGAUAUGGGCAGGGAAGAUAUACAAUUUCCCUUCUAUUAUCAGGACAGUGACUCUGAUGAAUUCGAUGCAACAACGGGAGGGAGUGAAUCCUCUGAUGAGGAUAUGAGCUGAUGGCCUUGUCCUUUAUUCUACAGUAUAAGUUAAAUUUGGCUCUUGUAUGCUCUUGAUCCACUGAAUCAAGUCAAAUUGCUAGUUGAUAUGAGAAUGCCAA